ACGUAUGGUGCAAGCGUUAUCCGGAUUUACUGGGUGUAAAGGGUGAGUAGGCGGUCAUGCAAGUCAUAUGUGAAAUGUCAGGGCUUAACCUUGGCGCUGCAUAAGAAACUGUAUGACUAGAGUGCAGGAGAGGUAAGCGGAAUUCCUAGUGUAGCGGUGAAAUGCGUAGAUAUUAGGAAGAACACCGGUGGCGAAGGCGGCUUACUGGACUGUUACUGACGCUGAGUCACGAAAGCGUGGGGAGCAAACAG
rnacentral:rRNA from 1 species